rnacentral:rRNA from 1 species
CUCAGGAUGAACGCUAGCGGCAGGCUUAACACAUGCAAGUCGAGGGGUAUUGUUCUUCGGAAUGAGAGACCGGCGCACGGGUGCGUAACGCGUAUGCAAUCUACCUUUUACAGAGGGAUAGCCCAGAGAAAUUUGGAUUAAUACCUCAUAGCAUUGCAGGAUGGCAUCAUCCAGCAAUUAAAGUCACAACGGUAAAAGAUGAGCAUGCGUCCCAUUAGCUAGUUGGUAAGGUAACGGCUUACCAAGGCUACGAUGGGUAGGGGUCCUGAGAGGGAGAUCCCCCACACUGGUACUGAGACACGGACCAGACUCCUACGGGAGGCAGCAGUGAGGAAUAUUGGACAAUGGGCGCAAGCCUGAUCCAGCCAUGCCGCGUGCAGGAUGACGGUCCUAUGGAUUGUAAACUGCUUUUGCACAGGAAGAAACAACGCUACGUGUAGCGUCUUGACGGUACUGUGAGAAUAAGGAUCGGCUAACUCCGUGCCAGCAGCCGCGGUAAUACGGAGGAUCCAAGCGUUAUCCGGAAUCAUUGGGUUUAAAGGGUCCGUAGGCGGUUUAGUAAGUCAGUGGUGAAAGCCCAUCGCUCAACGGUGGAACGGCCAUUGAUACUGCUAGACUUGAAUUAUUAGGAAGUAACUAGAAUAUGUAGUGUAGCGGUGAAAUGCUUAGAGAUUACAUGGAAUACCAAUUGCGAGGGCAGGUUACUACUAAUGGAUUGACGCUGAUGGACGA